CUUGUGCUUUCUUCCCCUCCCAACAAUGAAAAGCCCUCACUUAAAACUUCAUCACUUUCUCUAAAACCAACCCUCAAAAGUCUCCAUCUUUAAACCCUUUUUCUUUCCAGAGAAUCCAAGCGAAAGCAAAAGCAUGGCGAUUAACUCAAAAAGCGAAAGGCUGGUGAGGAGGACGACCGUGGUAGCCACUGCACUGCUGCCUAUUUCCUCUUGACUGCUGAUUACGGCUCCGAGCCCAACGCUCUUAACCCUUUCGUUGAUGUCAAAACGAUUGUUUCUCCAACAACUUUUGCCCGGCGUAGUUUGUCUUAUCUCAUGAGUGACAUGCCUCAGGAAGCUAUAAACGAUGCAAUGCAAGCACAAGUAGUUUCCCCAGUUUGGCACUUGCAUGUUAUCUUCAGGCUGUUGCCCUUUCGGCCCUUGGAAUGGAUGGUGAAGCUCAAGCAGCACUUAAGGAGGGUACUAUGCUUGAAUCCUAAAGGAGCAAAGCAGCUGGACAGAAGUGAAUAUCUAGGCCGGUCAACAAGGUGCCUAGUUUGCCACUUCUCUCGGUUUGGCUCUCAGCUUAUAUAGUCGUCGAUCAUAAGGUUUAAAACCACUGGGGCCAAAGCUUCAUCAUUUCCACGGCUCAUCCUUUCUUCUUCGUUGCACAAGAUCAGAGUUUCCUGUUGAUCACCACACAUCUUUGGAAGUGGAGGUCCGCACAGCUGAGGAUUUCCAGCAUAAUCAGAGGGUUCAAAACUUUGGAGCUGAGUGCCAGUUGGAAUUUUGCCAAUAAAGUUGUUGUAUGACAAGUCCAAGACACUAAGACCAUAUAUCUGAGCAAGGCUUGUUGGAAUUCUGCCAUCUAUCUGGUUUCUUGACAAAUCAAGUGCAUCCAAUGAUUGCAACUUUCCAAUAUUUGCAGGUAACUCACCUGUCAAUCCGUUUCUCGACAGGUUUAAAGAAACUAACCCAACAAGAUCCGUGACUUCACUUGGAAUCUCCCCCGUUAAUCUAUUGCCUGAGAAAUCAAUUCUCUUCACAAGUCCCAAAGUGUUUUUGUACGAGUACAUUCUUCCCUUCCAUAUAAAUGUUGCAUCAUCCAUAUAAUUAACCGCAGAGAAAGUAUCAUCUCUUAGGUACGAAUGUUGAAGGGUCGGAGAUGAGUUUCCCAUCUGUGCCAGUAAAAUUGCUGAGGCAUUUUGGUAUUGUUCCAGAGAUGUUAUUCGCAGACACAUCCAAGUUUUGAGUGUUGGAUUGGCUCAAGACGCAGAGAGGGAAAGGACCCAGUAAAAGGUUAUUAAUUUGGUUCAAUAGGGAAGCUUUUAAUUUCGGGGUUUUGGGUUUUUGGAAUCUAGGUCGGGCUGUUUCUGUCGAUUUCAGCUUCGCCAAGCUGCCUCAGGUGCAGGCAUUUGAUCUCUGAAGUCCCGGCGUUGUAGAUGAUUGACAUCCAAAGAGAGAAUGUAAUUUUGGAUACAGAAAUUGACCAAUUAAUCAUGUACUUACAAGGAGGCAAAUUCAACCACCGUGUUCUGGAAAAAGUAAAUUUUGAUUCUGGUUAUUGAUAGAGAUUUUUUUAUUUUUCUGUUUAGGGUUCUGUUGAUUGCAUUGAAAUGUGGAUGUAAUGUCCCUUGAAUACCCUCAUCUGGGUAAUAUCGAAUCGUAUCGAAUUCUGCAUGUAUUGGGUCUGGCUAUGCUCUGUUUGGAUGCUCGGAAAGUUUGGUGGGAAUUGGAAAUUCAGUUUGGAGAUGAGAAUGUGGAGUUGUUUUCUAUGGCGGUUAUGAGUUUGACGAUUUUCAGCCUCGUUUUGGCUAAGAAAGAAUUAGAGUGUUGCUUGUUAAGUUGAGUUAGGAGGAUUGCGGUCUCGAAAACUAAGAAGGGUUAGUGCUAUUGUACUGGCACUUGCAUUUGUGAACCUACAAAAUAUUUGGCCGUUUUCUGUACUGAAUUACAGGCACUGGUUGAAUUUUGUUACAUGUUGCAGAAUGCAAGAAAGUGGCAUAUUAAGAGUCUGUUUGUUUGUUUGUAUCUUUAAGAGCGUUUUGAUGACUAGGAUUCUGAUUAAGUUUUGACGGUUUCUUUUCGAACUUGCCUUCUUACACUCACAAUUUCCAUCCCACUCCUGUCCAACCCUCACUCGUCAUUGUUGUCAAUGCUCGCAAACCUAGUACUCACUUAUCUCUCACACGUUUUGGUACUUAACUUUGAUUGCAAAUUAUAUAUAUUGUACUCUAUAACAUAUAUAAACAAUUGUAAAGAAACUCUGGACCUUUGAUUUGGAAAACCCAAUGGUAAGAGUUGGUCUUUGUGUCCCAAACUGAAAGUGGGAUAAACUUAGAGGGAGUUUGAAAAAGCGUCCAAUCCGUCAAAGAAAUAGUGGCUUUCAGUCUAAUGUUGAUUGGGAUCACAGAGAGACGGUAAGGGAUUCUAAUGACAUCAGUCGAAAUUUCUAAUACAAGGGAAGCAGGUGCAGUUCAUGUACAAGCAAAGGUGGAGGCUGUGUAUAUGUAGGUAUACCGUCCCAGGAAAAGGAGGUUUUGAAGUUUAGUCGGUGUGAAGUCAGAGGAAUCUGAAUUUAGUUGGGUUGGUUUUGUUUAGAGGCAGAGAUUGAAAAGGGGAUUUGCAGCUCAAGUUGAUACGUGAGUGACAUUGAGGUGGGGGUUCAAUGCUCCAAACUCAUAGCAUGUUGCUUGAAUUCACAAAUGAAGGCAGCGGUUCUCGAAGCUCCCGACAUUGUUGGAUGAUGAGGAGAAGAGCAAGGUUGAUAACUUGCCUGCAUUUUGUGAAUUCACAUUUGAGCAAAUUAAAAAUGCGACAUCAGGUUUUGCUGUCGAGUACACUGUGUCUGAGCAAGUAGACAAGGCUCCAAAUGUUGAUUAUAAAGGGAAACCCGAAAAUCAGAAGAGAAUUGCUGUUAAGCGCUUCAAUAGGAUGGCCUGGCCUGAAUGCUCGGCAAUUUUUGGUAGGCAUCCUUUAACUUGGAGGAAGCAAGAUUAGUUGGUCAGCUCCGCAGCCAUAGAUUGGUCAACUUGCUCGGUUGUUGUUGUGAAGGUGAUGAGAGGUUGCUUGUGGCGGAAUAUAUGCCCAAUGAAGCACUUGCAUCACAUCUUUUCCAUU